UACGGAGGGUGCUAGCGUUGUGCGGAAUCACUGGGCGUAAAGCGCGUGUAGGCGGCCCACUAAGUCUGAUGUGAAAGCCCGGGGCUCACCCCCGGAAGUGCAUUGGAAACUGGUGGACUCGAGUCCCGGAGAGGAGAGUGGAAUUCCUGGUGUAGCGGUGAAAUGCGUAGAUAUCAGGAGGAACACCGGUGGCGAAGGUGGGUCUCUGGGCCGAUACUGACGCUGAGGAGCGAAAGCGUGGGGAGCGAACAGG
rnacentral:rRNA from 1 species